AUUGAACGCUGGCGGCAUGCCUUACACAUGCAAGUCGAACGGCAGCACGGGAGCAAUCCUGGUGGCGAGUGGCGAACGGGUGAGUAAUAUAUCGGAACGUGCCCGGUCGUGGGGAUAACGUAGCGAAAGCUACGCUAAUACCGCAUACGAUCUACGGAUGAAAGCGGGGGAUCGCAAGACCUCGCGCGAUUGGAGCGGCCGAUAUCAGAUUAGGUAGUUGGUGAGGUAAAGGCUCACCAAGCCGACGAUCUGUAGCUGGUCUGAGAGGACGACCAGCCACACUGGGACUGAGACACGGCCCAGACUCCUACGGGAGGCAGCAGUGGGAAUUUGGACAAUGGGCGCAAGCCUGAUCCAGCAAUGCCGCGUGCAGGAUGAAGGCCUUCGGUU
rnacentral:rRNA from 1 species